AUUGAACGCUGGCGGCAUGCCUUACACAUGCAAGUCGAACGGUAACGGGUCCUUGGGGCUGCCGAUGAGUUGCGAACGGGUGAGGAAUAUAUCGGAACGUGCGCAGCAGUGGGGGAUAACUGCUCGAAAGAGCAACUAAUACCGCAAACGACCUGAGGGUGAGUGGGGGGGCUGGCAAGGCCUUCCGCUAUUGGAGUGGCGGUUAUCAGAUUAGCUAGUUGGCGGGGUAAAGGCCUACCAAGGCAACGAUCUGUAGUUGGUCUGAGAGGACGACCAGCCACACUGGGACUGAGACACGGCCCAGACUCCGACGGGAGGCAGCAGUGGGGAAUUUUGGACAAUGGGCGCAAGCCUGAUCCAGCAAUGCCGCGUGCAGGAAGAAGGCCUUCGGGUUGUAAACUGCUUUUGUCAGGGAAGAAAUCUUCUGGGCUAAUACCCCGGGAGGAUGACGGUACCUGAAGAAUAAGCACCGGCUAACUACGUGCCAGCAGCCGCCGUAA
rnacentral:rRNA from 1 species